AUUGAACGCUGGCGGAAUGCCUUACACAUGCAAGUCGAACGGCAGCACGGACUUCGGUCUGGUGGCGAGUGGCGAACGGGUGAGUAAUAUAUCGGAACGUGCCCAGUCGUGGGGGAUAACGUAGCGAAAGCUACGCUAAUACCGCAUACGAUCUACGGAUGAAAGCGGGGGAUCGCAAGACCUCGCGCGAUUGGAGCGGCCGAUAUCAGAUUAGGUAGUUGGUGAGGUAAAGGCUCACCAAGCCGACGAUCUGUAGCUGGUCUGAGAGGACGACCAGCCACACUGGGACUGAGACACGGCCCAGACUCCUACGGGAGGCAGCAGUGGGGAAUUUUGGACAAUGGACGCAAGUCUGAUCCAGCCAUUCCGCGUGCAGGACGAAGGCCUUCGGGUUGUAAACUGCUUUUGUACAGAACGAAAAGGUCUCUAUUAAUACUAGGGGCUCAUGACGGUACUGUAAGAAUAAGCACCGGCUAACUACGUGCCAGCCGCCGCAGUAA
rnacentral:rRNA from 1 species